rnacentral:tRNA from 1 species
AAGGCUGUAGCGCAGGGGUCGUCGCGCCCAAACCGCAUUUGGGAGGACGCCGGUUCGAAUCCGGCCAGUCUUG